UGAAAGAGUGCGUAAUAGCUCACUGGUCAAGUGAUUCCGCGCCGAUAAUGUAGCGGGGCUUAAGUUAUCCGCCGAAGCUGUGGCAACCUGUGUGGUUGGGUAGGGGAGCGUCGUGUCAGUGGUGAAGCUGCCGGGUGACUGUGUGGUGGAGUUGAUGCGAGUGAGAAUGCAGGCAUGAGUAGCGAAAGACGGGUGAGAAACCCGUCCUCCGAAUGAUCAAGGGUU
rnacentral:rRNA from 1 species